AUGGGUGUUGUAGUUUCAUGGAUCCUUU
rnacentral:piRNA from 1 species